rnacentral:rRNA from 1 species
CCUACGAGGGGCAGCAGUCGAGAAUCAUUCACAAUGGGGGAAACCCUGAUGGCGCGACGCCGCGUGGGGGAAGGAAGGUCUGCGGAUUGUAAACCCCUGUCAUGUGGGAGCAAAUUAAAAAGAUAGUACAACAAGAGGAAGAGACGGCUAACGCAGGGCCAGCAGCCGCGGUAAUACAGAGGUCUCAAGCGUUGUUCGGAACCACUGGGCGUAAAGCGUGCGUAGGCUGUUUCUUAAGUCGUGUGUGAAGGCCGCGGGCUCAACCCGCGGACGGCACCUGAUACUGCGAGACUAGCGUACUGUAGGGGGCACCGGCAUUCUCGGUGUAGCCGU